UCCCAUUCAGGCCAGCUCUUUCCUGUUCUCGAAUCCAAUCUCGGCGGCGGCGGCGACGACGGCCAUGCCCUGCUGACUGCCGCUGCCAGCCAGCACUUCCCCGCCCACACUCCGAGCCACAAAAUACCCUCGUCGACGGCGGUGGCCUUGUCCUCCCAGAUCUUUCCCACCUCCCCUCUGGACCACGAAGUUCCCUACCAUCGACUGCGGCGGCCUUGUUCGAGCCAGUUCUUAACCCUAACCAGGAAAUUGCUUCCCCACAUAUCUCCCUGUCUACUGCCGACAAGUACCGGGUAUACAACACCAUUCCAUGCUUGUUCUAGUGGUGAUAUUGGGGGAGUAGCAACGGCUGUGGAGACUUCUCGGCUCCACAACAUCUACCGUUCAUUAAUCUAAAGGGACGCAGGAAAGCAGAGAAGAGAAGGCAAUUGUUCUUCUAAAUGGAGGAAACUAGCGCGAACUCACCCUCGCCAUUCUUGGCAUCCAGACCAAUCCCAUCGGUCAAUAGCCUUGCCAUGACAGAAUUAAGUGAUGCUCACUCUGUCAACGAACCGAACGAGCGCCAAGACCAAGUUCAAACCUCAAGCCGGCCCAGAAGACAGCCUCGCCCACUGGCUCGGCUCGCCGGCCCAGAAUGGGCCCGUUAAGAGUUGUACUUAUAUCUGUAAACGAUAAGAUUCGAGUGGCGGCUGGAAAACGGCUAGGUAGCGUGUGCGUGCAAGCUUGUAAGCGGGGUCUCCUCUCCUCCUUCCCCCAAACAUCUCUCCUGUAUUCGAAUUCGCCAUGAAAUUAGAGAUGAAUCAUUGAGAUGCCCUAA